GUGUGCGUUCAUACAAGCAAUAAUGCAUCGAAUUCCAUCAGAACUCUGAAGUUAAACUUGCUUGGGCGAGAAUGGUACUAGGACGAGCUUUGUCGCCGGACCCC
rnacentral:rRNA from 1 species